rnacentral:rRNA from 1 species
CUAAUACAUGCAAGUCGAACGAAUCUCUUUUAGAGAUGAGUGGCGAACGGGUGAGUAAUACAUAGGUAACCUGCCCCUGUGCGGGGGAUAACAGGAGGAAACUCCUGCUAAUACCGCAUAGCCAUGAGCACCGCAUGGAGCUCAUGCCAAAUAUCCUUUCGGGGAUAGCGCAGGGAUGGACCUAUGGCGCAUUAGCUGGUUGGCGGGGCAACGGCCCACCAAGGCAACGAUGCGUAGCCGGCCUGAGAGGGCGGACGGCCACAUUGGGACUGAGACACGGCCCAGACUCCUACGGGAGGCAGCAGUAGGGAAUUUUCGGCAAUGGGGGAAACCCUGACCGAGCAACGCCGCGUGAGCGAAGAAGGCCUUCGGGUCGUAAAGCUCUGUUGUAAAGGAAGAACGGCGCAUACAGGAAAUGGUAUGCGAGUGACGGUACUUUACCAGAAAGCCACGGCUAACUACGUGCCAGCAGCCGCGGUAAUACGUAGGUGGCGAGCGUUAUCCGGAAUCAUUGGGCGUAAAGAGGGAGCAGGCGGCCGCAAGGGUCUGUGGUGAAAGACCGAAGCUAAACUUCGGUAAGCCAUGGAAACCGGGCGGCUAGAGUGCGGAAGAGGAUCGUGGAAUUCCAUGUGUAGCGGUGAAAUGCGUAGAUAUAUGGAGGAACACCAGUGGCGAAGGCGACGGUCUGGGCCGCAACUGACGCUCAUUCCCGAAAGCGUGGGGAGCAAAUAGGAUUAGAUACCCUAGUAGUCCACGCCGUAAACGAUGGUCACUAAGUGUCGGGGGUCAAACCCCGGUGCUGCAGUCAACGCAAUAAGUGACCCGCCUGAGUAGUACGUUCGCAAGAAUGAAACUCAAAGGAAUUGACGG